UAGGAAGAAAAUAUAUUUCCUUCCAGCUUAAAUCACUUUGAGUUGAUGUUUUCUGUUACUUGAGGCCAAAAGCAUCCUAAAUGAUGAAAUACUUCCAGUCCAUCAUCUACAUGCAAAUGCAGUGGUUGUUAUACAACAGGGAUCGUAUCACAUCACUUCCUUUUUUCUUUUUUAAAAUAUUUUAUUCAUUUAUUUGAAGAGAGAGAGACAGAGGAGGCAUAAACAGGACAAGAGGCAGAGGGAGAAACAGACUCCCCAUUGAGCAGGGAGCCCAAUGCAGGGGUAGAUGGGGGGCUUGAUGUGGGGCUCAAUCCUGGGACUCCAGGAUAAUGACCUUAGCCAAAGGCAGCCACUGAACCCAGGCACCCAAUCACAUCAUUUCCUGAUUCCAGUCCUUCAUUGGCUUCUUUAGGGAGUCUGACCAAAUCUCUGUUCACUGUGUCCUCUCCUUGCCUCAUGCCUACUCACCUCCCAGACGUCAGCCCCUGCGAGGAGAGCGGAUGAGCACACGUUCCCCAGGGCUGAAGGGCCUGAGUUGCUUCCUCUGCACUCAGGGCCCUCACCCACUCUACUGGAGCUGCUUAGUACACUGCUCCUUGACUCUAUCAGAACCUCUCUCACACAGACACAUUGCCGCAUUCAUGGAGGGUGGCAUGGAGAUCUGGUUUCGAUGAGGUGUCUGCUCUGGGCUGGUAAAGCAGAGGACAGCCCCACGCUGCAAAGACUCCCUGGGGACAGGGCCAGCAACAGAGCCAAAGUGCGGGGUCUGCUUUAUACAAACAGACACAUAGAGGCAGACGUGCUAGUGUGAGAGCACAAGCACCCCUGCACUCCUGCCCUACUCCACGGCACACACAGGCACCAGCACACGGAUGUGGAGUCGAGGAUUCAGGUACAGGCACCGGAAUGACCAUUUUCAAACAUACACAGAGAGAACAGCGAAUUUCCCUAGACCCCGAUCACUUAGCGAAACAAUGAUCAGAUUCAGGUACAUCCUGGUGGCAGUUGCAUUUAGCACAAGCAAGUGAAGGUAUAUAUUCAGUAUUUUUCUGGUUCCACUAAUGCAGAGUUGAGUACGUGGAUAGUUUUCCCAUAAAUAAUCACGUGGGGAGAACAUAUUUUGUGGGACUAUAUGUAUGGCAUAGGCGUGACGAGCAGCUGCUCCCGUGUGUGUGCUACUUUACACGGAACACCCUCAGCUGUUACCUUUGCCGCGUCUCGGGUGUGCAUGACAGGAGGUGUGUGAAAGGGGUGGGCCGGAGUCUGCUGCGCAUCGUGUGUGUUGGGGGGUGUCCUCCACGGUGAACGCGGACCAUCUCGUGAGAGGAGUUGUCUGUGUGCGAUGGCAUAUUUGGCAUGUGUGCACAUGUGUGCACGCCUGGGGCCAGCAGGAGAGGUGUGCAAGCGUCCCGAGCAGCCGAGAGGCGGCCAGCCUGGCUCUUGGGAGAGACACUCAUGUAUGAAGAGCUCGGCGCUCAAAAGCGGCUGGUUAACAGCUUGAGCAUCAAAUUAUAGCCCACGUGGCCAGAGGUGGCAGCGGUCGCUGGUUGCUGUAAAUACUUCACUGCAAUUGACAACAGCUUGUGGAGGGCUAAGUGAGAUGGGGGGGGGCGGCGGGGGGCGGGGGGAGCCGCCUCCGGGGGACCCUGUGGCCCGCAGGCCUGUCUCUGCUGGAG
rnacentral:lncRNA from 12 species